GAUGGUGUGGUGCUGCCUAGGCUUUCCAAGGCUCCUCCAGACAGUAAGCUAUCCUGGUUUCCAUCCCUCUGGUUCAGUUAUCAUUUAUCUUGGAAGACUCUCCAUUAUUCAAACCCAUCCCAGGACUCGGGAGAGCCAGCCUGUGUGAAAGGAGGAUGAGAUGAGAGAACCAUCAUCAUUUCUGAAAAGAAGCAGGGUGUGAUGGUGCAUGCCUGUGAUCUUAACACUCAGGGUAGAGGUGGAAGAAUUAGGAGUUUGAGGGCAGCCUGGGCUAUAGAAAGUUUUGGGCCAGCCUGAGCUACACAGUGAGUGAGUCCUUGUCUCAAAAAAAAAAAAAAAAAAAAAAAAAAAACAAGGGCUGGAGAUAGCUUAGUGGUUAAGAACACUGGCUGCUCUUCCAGAACUCACAUAGCAGUUUACAACUCUAUAUCUCCACUUCCUGUGGCUUCAACACCCUUUUCUGGUCCCUGUGGGCACCAGGCAUACAUGCAGUAUAUAGACUUAUAUUCAGGCAAAACGCCCAUACACAUAAAGUAAAAAUUUAAGCAAGAAAC
rnacentral:lncRNA from 1 species